rnacentral:rRNA from 1 species
AUUGAACGCUGGCGGCAUGCUUUACACAUGCAAGUCGAACGGCAGCGCGGGCUUCGGCCUGGCGGCGAGUGGCGAACGGGUGAGUAAUACAUCGGAACGUGCCCAGCAGUGGGGGAUAGCUCGGCGAAAGCCGGAUUAAUACCGCAUACGACCUGAGGGUGAAAGCGGGGGAUCUUCGGACCUCGCGCUAUUGGAGCGGCCGAGGGCGGAUUAGCUAGUUGGUGGGGUAAAGGCCUACCAAGGCGACGAUCUGUAGCUGGUCUGAGAGGACGACCAGCCACACUGGGACUGAGACACGGCCCAGACUCCUACGGGAGGCAGCAGUGGGGAAUGUGGGACAAUGGGCGAAAGCCUGAUCCAGCAAUGCCGCGUGUGUGAUGAAGGCCUUCGGGUUGUAAAGCACUUUUGGCGGGAACGAAAAGGACUGUGCCAAUACCACGGUUCGAUGACGGUACCCGCAGAAUAAGCACCGGCUAACUACGUG